CCACUGGUGUAGAGUCUUACUUAACUCACCAGGAGGCGAGCCCACUUGGUUCGGUAACAAAAUUGGUGACCCAGAGGGAACAUACCCCUUCAUGAUGACUGUGCCGCCAGCUUGACAUCGCUGCCCCAUCGGGAGACCCAGCGGCCGCACUGAGUGCUUUGCUUGGAGGAUCUCUCUAUGGAGGUGCAAUUUCAACAGCUGUGUAAAGGAUUUACGCGAGUUUGGAUGAAUUCAAACACAGGUGUGCAAGAUAAAGGU